rnacentral:lncRNA from 1 species
AAGUAGCUUUGUGUGUUCUUGAGAGUUGAUAUAAUUUAUAAACUUUUGAGAGCUGUUGAGCUAAAGUAACUGAUAUUAAAAUUUUGUGUUCAUUUAAGGAAGCCGAAUCUUCAUUUAAGGAAGCUGUUGAUGACAGUGUUGAUUACUCUGACCAUGAGUGAGGACAAUUCUGGCCAGAAAGGAAAUGCAAGGAGUCCACAGACAAAAAUCCACCUAGAGAGCUUCUAAACCAACUCACUGCACUGAAGAUGUUUCAGCUGUCAGCUCAAUGGAGGUCGAGCUCUUCUUUGGGAAGUGUGAGCGCACUUGCAAAAGGAAGAGCUUCCAGGAGUGGAAGAAAGUAACUACAACCUGCAGCCAAGAGCAGAUGAUGGAAACAGACUUUCAAGGGCAUCACGUCCCUGCUCUGCGGGUUAUGGUUUGCCUGCCUUCUGCUGAGUUGGACAGUCAGAUGGAGAGUUCAAAAUUGCAGUUGCCAGAAGAAAUGAGCAGUAAAGAAACAAAUCACCUUUGACCAGAAAUGGAAAACUUCAGUAUAGAAGAUAACAGUGGAACAAAAAAAAAUGUCUGUGUGCUGUCACCGCCUUGACUUUGACAGAAAAAUCUGUGACUUUUAGGGUUUUUCCAUAAGUUGUUAGAGAAAACAUUUUGACUGAAUUGGGCCAGAGGAAAACUUGUGAGUUAAUCAGAAAACAGAAUGUUUGUCCUUUGGAAAACACUGGUAUCAUAAAAUGUUUCUCAAUGAAAAUGAGAAAAAUUAUUUGUUUUCCUUUGCAAUUAAAACGUUUCAGGUGUCAUGUGAAAUAAGUUGGACUUCUUAAAGUUGUCAGAAUCUCGGUAGGAUGACUUGGAGUGCUUGCACUGUUGUUUAUAGCAAUCCCAAAAUGAAUUCCCUAAUCAACCUGUAGCUAUUUUAAACCACUAGAAGAUUCAUCCUUAGCAAAUAAGGGCUGCUGAAUUAAUCCAUUUUGCUCAUUGGCAUAUGACUGUUUUCCCACUUCAUAUUUAAUUAUUCCUUAUCCUGGAGCACAAAACACAUUUUGAAACAUGCCUUUCUGCUAUCCAGAUAUCAACACAUGACUGCAAAUUAGCUGUUGGUUUUUGACAGCAUUGCCUUUCCCUGGCCCCAACAACAAAACUGGAAAUGACUUUAGAUGGUUUCUUUUCCUUUUAAAGUUAGAAUACACCGAUUCAGUGGCCAUGCAGUUCCCCUUCAUUGCACUCUCUUCUUCUGCCAGUUUUUUUUUUUUUAAUAGUCAAGCUCUGCUCACAUUGUUUGCACUCCUCAAUGAUCACAACAUCAGUGGCCAUGAGUACAUCCAUAAUUCCCUAAAAGGCAUUAGCUGCCCUGUAUUGCUAGUGAUCAUGGGUUUCAGAGGUCAGGCAUUGUGUUGUCAGUCCCACGUGCCCUAGGAAGCAGCACUUGUGAAUCGUUUCUUUGAUGUAAGAUGCCUUUGAACCUCACUGUGUAGCCUAUGUUUUGGCUGCAGUGAAAGAAAGAUGACCUUGGUGCAGGCUCAGCUCAAAGAUGACUGUUGAAGAGGCAGCACCUCUUGAUUGACCACUGGGCCUGUCUUAUGCCUGGAUGUUUACAGUCAACCUCUGCUCCCUCCCUGUCUGGUGGAUAUAACACUCAAACCUUGCAGUGUGAGGGGAUACGAGCUGUGAAGGCACCUCGUAUCAAGGCAGGUGCCCUGCGGAGCUGGCUCAUGAGAACGCUCGCCCCAGGCAUGGCAGGUCUGCAAGAUUUGUGAUAAAGCCUUCAUCACUAACGGUAACCGGAGAAAUUCUAACAUGCUCUUCCCAACAGCUGCUCAAUCCAAGUUUCAGCACCCAUUCCAGCUGUUGACAAUUAUACUCUCCCUGUAGCCUUAGUUAGAUGUGGUGUGUGUCACAACAGAUCUAACCUGUUAAACAGAUGCUGCUUUUUGCUCCAGCAGGGAUUCUGUAAUUGACAGAAAAAAUGAUUUUGACAUAUGGUAGGUAAUGUUUCUCAAUUUGUUAAAUUCACCAUUUGGGAUUAAAGGUGUCAUAGAAAUUUCAAGUGCUAUUGUUCAUUCUAAAUGACUGUCCCAUUUUCCUUAAAAAAAAAAAAAAAUAUAUAUAUAUAUAUAUACACACUUUUUUUUUUCCUGCAUUUUGCACUCUGGUUAGUUUCUUCAUGUUCCAUUAUGGAACUGCUAUUAAUUAGUCUUUUACCCUAGGAUAUCAACAUCGUCAAUCACACAGGACAUUCUUCUGACCUCUGUUAGGCAUUUAACAAUUUCUGACCUUACUUACUUCUUUAGUUACUUGAGCUUUCAGUCUUCUAUUCCUAAUUUCAACGCAAUUUCAGUUCUUUUCACAGAAACUCUUGCUGAGUUUAAGCAUGCAAAUGCACUUCACAGUACUUUGUGAGUCCAAAUUUUCUGGUUGUACUUGCUUGCUUUACUAUAUUUCCCCAUGACCUGGGAUUAAUUACAAACUGAUGAAAUAUCAGGAUUUGUUCUUCAAGACUUUCUGUGAGUGCAUGAAAGAGAGAUACUGAGACAGCAGCUCAGUGAACCGCUGGCUUGAGGCUUAGUUGUACCUAAAUGCUGUCAUUCAUGGAGCCAACUCAAACCAUCAGUCAAAACCCUGUCAGUCUAAACAAAGCUGAAGCUUGAAAAUUUUUGCUUUAGUUGGCAUUUAAGUCUUUCUUUGUAUCCAAUUCCUAACUUUAAGUAGAAUAUCUUGCACAAAAAAGGGUUCGUUUCGAGUCCAGCUCUGCAAUGUAUUGUGUGUAGAGGCCUGAUCUCAGAGAAGUUACAGCUCCAAUAGGAAUGAACAACAGCAUGAGCAGAGUGAGCUGUUCCCCAGAAAGGUCGAUUAAACAAUUUAACACCUCUCAUCAUUUCAUGGGAUGUCAUUUCCAUAUUUGUGUAAGAAUAAAGGAAACCCACCUGUGGAUGUUAGAGGGAUG